rnacentral:rRNA from 1 species
UACAGAGGGUGCGAGCGUUGUCCGGAAUCACUGGGCGUAAAGGGCGCGUAGGCGGCUUGAUAAGCGUGCGGUGAAAGCCCGGGGCUCAACCCCGGGUCGGCCGUGCGAACUGUCGAGCUGGAGCACUGUAGAGGCAGGUGGAAUUCCGGGUGUAGCGGUGAAAUGCGCAGAUAUCAGGAGGAACACCGGUGGCGAAGGCGGUUCUCUGGGCCUGUACUGACGCUGAGGAGCGAAAGCGUGGGGAGCGAACAGG